UAUUCCCGAUAUAAAACUAAACCGGGUAGUACAAAUCACUAUUUAAAAUCCAAAGAUCUUGGCGGUGUCUUAUGCAAUCAGGGGAACCUGUCCCUUAAUUCGAUAAUCCACGAACGUUCUACCUUUCCUUGAAAACUUACAGCCUAUGUACUGCCGUCGAAAGUAUGCCUCAAAGAGCUAGCAUACAAUAAUAUUAUCUAUUUACGUCAGGUCAAAGUGUAGCCCAUGGAAAGGGGGAGAUGGGUUACAGCUCAUACUAAAACUACCAUCAUCUGCAGAUAACGCAGACCAAAGCUGGACUUGUAAGUAAUUUCUUCUACCUAAAAGAAAUGAAUAGAACUCUAAGACAUGCACACAUCGCCCGUCACUCUCGCCGAAAGAUG
rnacentral:rRNA from 1 species